CUGGUGAAGUUUUUAAAUCGAGUCAGUGCAGAAUGAAGUUUGUUUGCGACAUGUCUAUGUGUGAAUUGAUAUGCUUAUGUGUUUAUGCUUGUUUAUGUGCUUGAUUGCUAUGAGUUUGAUCUGAGUUGAGUGUUAAGUCGAGAAUAGGACGUGUGAAUCUUUAGAAGUUAAGUAAACCUAGGGAUUGAGAUUUAUUGGGUAAAUAGAAGAUGAGUGAGAAGUAUUAGUUUGAGACGAGAUUGGUUUUAGUAACGAGUUCUAACUAAGGUUUGUUUUAUCACAUGAACCUUCGAUGACGAUGAUGAUGAUAUAUGAAGGCCCGAGCGAGAUGAAGAAGUAAGUCGCCUGUUUUCCUUUCCAAGUUGAGCGAAGGACUUCAGGCUAAGCGAGGAGCGAGAUUGGUCUGGUGCUGGUGGGGGAUUGUUUAGUUGAUGUAUUUACUUUAUCGCAUUUCCAUUUUUGUCGAUACAGUCUUGAUGAUUGAGUUACUUUGUUUUCUUUUGAAUCAAGCAAUGUACUCUCGGUUAUGUGUCUUCAUACAUAUAAUCGGUUCGCCUUUUACUGCAAUACUCUGAAUUUUAUGAUUCCUUAUGAAAAAUAAACUAUACCCGCUUUGUUUU